rnacentral:rRNA from 1 species
UACAGAGGUCUCAAGCGUUGUUCGGAUUCAUUGGGCGUAAAGGGUGCGUAGGCGGCGCGGUAAGUCGGGUGUGAAAUCUCGGAGCUUAACUCCGAAACUGCAUUCGAUACUGCCGUGCUUGAGGACUGGAGAGGAGACUGGAAUUUACGGUGUAGCGGUGAAAUGCGUAGAUAUCGUAAGGAAGACCAGUGGCGAAGGCGGGUCUCGUGGACAGUUCCUGACGCUGAGGCAACGAAGGCCAGGGGGAGCAAACGGGG